ensembl:lncRNA
AAGAAAACUGUUUUUAAAACAAGACUGCCAAUCCCAAAUUUAGAGACUAAUGAGACACAGUACUGUAAUUGUUUCACGAUGCCUAUAUGCUCCAUUUUGUUUUAAUUUUGCCAUGCUUCUGUUUUUCUUAUCUCUUGCCAGAGAGAGAGUACCACAUACAUUACAUUCGUAAGAAGGAUGUUUUGCUGCUUUGAGAACAUGUCCUCCAGAUGCAAAAUGCUUUUGUGUUGUCAAUCAGAUUCUCCCUUUGGAUAGGCAGAUGACUCUGAGUUGAACAUUGCAUAAUGCAAAUACCCAGCAACUAUGGCAAAGGUCCAAAGAUGUACUCCGGAACAGUGAAUAGACAUGGGUCACAGAAGAGCUCUUAACCUCUGUACUUUUCAUUGUGAGUGGAGGACUCCUGAUGCAACUGGGACCAUGUCUAAUACUCUGCCAGUUAGACAGACAAACUCUGGCUGUGGUGGCUUUGCAGUUGACUUAAUAUUUCUUCCUUGUUAUCUAUAAAUCAGUUGAACACUGUGAUUUUUCUUGGAUUCUCCCCUGGCCCCUCAGUAUGCUAACACCUAUAGUUCUGUGUACUGUACGUUGAAGUUUCCUGUUAGGAAGAAUCACAAUGGAUAUAAAACAUGUUUUGCUCAUUACAGGGGUUCCACAGACUAGGUAUUUAUGGUUAAGCUAAUUUUACAUGAGAUUUGUCUAGUUUUUGAGAUUGGCCAUUAAGUCUACAAAGAGAGGUGCAAGAAUCCUACAAUAAGCCAAUGUGGUAGAAAGUUAACUUUUGUACAAAUUCAGGAUAUGUGUACUUUUCUAUUUGUUGAGGCUAGCAAAUUAAUUCAGCAUGUUUUUUUACUGGACCCAGAAUUCUGCCAUGGAUAUGAGAUAAUAUUCAUAAUAGCUAAGAUCUGAAUGAUGUCUGUGAAUGGGAAUGUGACCAGUAGCAUCAUUUCACAUACUCAAGCUCUCCUCAGAGUCUGUAGUGUAAGUGAAGUCUUAGUUAUUGCUGACUCCAGAGCUAUACAUCUACAGCCAUCAGACGAUUAAGAGUAGCAAAAAAUACUGAACUUGGUAUAGUCAAAACCUUUUGACAAGCAUACAUUUUCACCCAGAAACCUGCAAAAAAAAAAAAAAAAAAAAAUUUAAGUGCCCUUCGUACAAGAAACUCCACUGAUAAAAGUCAUAGGAAGAGUUACAAACAAAGAAGUUUAUGUUGUGAAAAGAGAACUUGGUCACAGUUUUAAAGUGACACAAUAUAUCUGGUAAUAAAAAUAUCUGCAAAUAAAGAAUGGCAGUAACUCGCCUCAUUUCUUUCCUGGCUGAUGGCUAUAGCUUUUUCAAUGGUUGCAAGUUCAGGGGUUUCAGCUCUGUGUUGUUGUGGCUUUACAUCUUAUUGUGUCCUGCCUAGUGCUGCCAUGUCUGCACCAGCCUUCGCUGCAGAGUCCUUGGUUUUGAUCUUGCAAGGAAGCAGUGAUAAAAGAGAUGCUUAGGACCUUUGGGUAGAGUCUUUUGCCACUUGCAUAUACUUCCAAAUGAGGUGUGGAUGUGUGUGGGUGUUGGUGAAUUUUAUUUGGCCAGAAGGUAAGAGAUCCUUUCAGUUUUCGAGAGUCCCCUGCCCAGGAUUAAAGUUGAAGUGAGUUGUCAGACGGGACAAAGGAAUCUGCAUAGACGGG